AAAUGCCCCAUUCUACCAUAAGCCUCAAUCUUGAAUCUUAACAGGAACUCACAGAAGGUUGACUGAACGACUAACAUGUAUUGAGUGAUUAUAGACACCUUGUUCUCUCCUAAGCCCUGUGAGAAUUAACUCAUUCAGUCCUCACAAUAAUCCUACCAGCGUUGAUGAGGCUACUCCACCUGCCUGCCACUUUUCCAAGACUGAGUCCUCUUCUAAUAAAGAAUAAAAAAUGCAAUGACCUCCUCACCUCCUUCUGAAAUGAACUCUGAGCCUACCCACCACACCAUGAUGAGAAGACCAUUCAUAUUACAAACUCUUGGUAAUGUAAAGUAAAAACACCGACAGCCAAAAGAAUCAGCAUCUUUGCCUGCCUACUACCUGAAAGUCUUUCCUGUAUAUAAAUAGAAUAAAGAAAAAAAAAGAAAGAAAAGAAAAAAAAGUAUGUUUAUGUAAAGGGAAACACUGAUUUACUAGAACUGAUUGCUUCAUAGUCUAAUUACUUUUCAACUGGCUGUUCCAAAUUAAGAUGUCAUUGAUGGCUUUUGGUGAUAUAUUUCAUUUUAAGCAAAUUUAUUCUAUAAUAGAGUACAUCAUAAUGGAAAGCAGAGUUCCUACUCUUCCCUCCUCUUUGUAGCCUGAUAUCUUGACAAGUAAAUUAAAUUUAGCAGUUAAAAUGCUUCCAUUAGUAAUUUUAUUAAGUUAAUUAAAGAAUCUCUCUUUCUGAAUUUUAACUACCUUCCUUUCAGAACAAUGUUGAUUUCUUUUUUCUUUUUUUUUUUUUUUA